UUCCCUCUCUCUGCGUUUCAAUCUCUCUGCCUCUUGGUAUUCUCCCCGUCGAUUCCACUUCUCCAUGAUUGUAAUUACCAAUCUCAUAUCUCAAUGCUCUGUAUUCCAAAAAUCUAUUAACCCUCUCAUCCUUCUCCCAAAUUCUACAAGCACUAGCGUCAUGAGCUGAUGGUACCUUCGCCUCUGUUGUCGCCUCUUCACCUCUGUUGCCCCCUCUCUAGGCACCGCCGCCAACUCGAUUUCGAGCUCAAUUUUGAAUGUUUUAUCUAUUCUUUUUGUGGUUGUUUAAAGCUCAAAAACUAAUAAACUCUUCUCUUUUAUAAGUAAUCAUUUUUCUUCAGUUUUCCUUCAUGGGUUUCUCUUAUUCUUCGCCUUUUCUAUAUUGGGUCUUUUUCGAAUUUUGUAUCAAAGCUUGGCACUUUGUAGUCAUGGAACUUUUGAUGUAAAACUGGGUCCUUUUUUCUUGCAUUUGAGGUGUUUGAGUUUUUGCCUCUGUUAUUUGUUGUGUCCUCAAAUUGUCAACAAGAGCUCCAAAUAGUUUAGCCACCAGACUGGGAGGAAAAAUUAAGCUAAUUUAUAACAUGAGCAGGAAAGGAGGAGUUUUUUUUAUAGCAAAAGGAGGAGGAAUUUGUAGAAAAGGAAUACAAUUACAUUGAAUUGGAAAGCAGGACUUAGGAAGCUUAUCCAAGAAAUUCAAC